CAGCAGCCGCGGUAAUACGGAGGGUGCAAGCGUUAAUCGGAAUUACUGGGCGUAAAGCGCACGCAGGCGGUUUGUUAAGUCAGAUGUGAAAUCCCCGAGCUUAACUUGGGAACUGCAUUUGAAACUGGCAAGCUAGAGUCUUGUAGAGGGGGGUAGAAUUCCAGGUGUAGCGGUGAAAUGCGUAGAGAUCUGGAGGAAUACCGGUGGCGAAGGCGGCCCCCUGGACAAAGACUGACGCUCAGGUGCGAAAGCGUGGGGAGCAAACAGGAUUAGAGACCCCUGUAGUCCCUGUCUCUUAUAC
rnacentral:rRNA from 1 species